GACCCCCACUGCCACUUCAACGUCCACUGUAGCCGGUGGAGGGAGAACAUAUAGAUUCAAUGCGAAUUGGCUCAAAAUGUUCCCAUGGCUAGAGUUCGAAAACAACGUCAUGUUCUGCAAAUAAUAUAGAGGGCAGAAACAGGCGGGCUCGUCCUUCGUGUCAGGAAACCCGCAUCUGAAAAGAGAUAGCGUAGCGAAACAUUACAUCUCGCGGCGGCAUAUCCAGUGCAGAAAUCUGUACCUGUUGAGAGAAACCAUCAGGCACGGUGUCAGCAGCCUUGAGGAGGCAAGUGCUGCUGUCUGAGGAGGAGAAGAGGAGGCAGCUGAAAAUAAAGAUAAACAUUGCAUACUUCAUUGCGAAAGAAGAAGAACCUUUCGUCAAAUUUGGGCCGUUUAUCAGACUCCACCACAAAAACGGAGUUGACAUUAAUACCACAUACGACAAUGAUGUAAAAUGUGCGGAGAUGAUCGGUCAAAUUGCUGACAUAAUGAAAGAGAGCCUGUCAGCGAAGCUGAAAGCCGCAGGAAGCCAGUCAAUCUCCUGGUCGGACAACAGACACUUGAGCACUCAUGCCAUUGGUGUUUUGGAUGCCACCAAGGCCACAUUUCGUGCUGUUUGCCCAGAGGAGGAUGGAGGGUAAUGGAUGAAGAGGGGCAUCUCCUUCGGGCAGAUGGUGCAUGUGUGAACAUGGGCCACCGAGGGGGAGUGAUUGCCCACUUGCAGGGAAAGGCAGGGGGGCAUAUAAUCCCAAUCCACUGUAUGCCACAUAGAGCCCUCAAAGUGUUCCUGAAGGCAUGGACUAGACAAGGACCGUGCCACUGACGAAGGCCAGUACUCCGUUGUUCUGCAGCACAUGGCUGUAGCAUCAACAACAGCGGAAGUUCAAGGGCGGGCAAAGAAGGUCAGUUUUACACAGGGGAAUCUGAAAGGCUUCACGGACCUCACCAAUCCCCAGCUGAAGCAGCACAUGGAGGCGGCCAUCAACAUCAGCGUGGAUGAUCUCAAAGCCAGGUUUGAUGAAGUCCAGACCCCAGUGGAGUCUUUCAGAGUGCUAAACCCUGACACAUGACCAGAAGACCAGGCCAGCCUUCUCACCUUUGGCGAUGAUGGUGUGGCAGACCUGAUGAGGCAUUUCAAGAAGCCUCUAGAGUUACAGUCUUGUCUCAUCGCUGCAACUCCCGUACGGACUCGGGAGAGGCGAAGGUCGAGAGCCAUGUGUCCCCCGAAACACAACCCAACCAAGCCGCACUGCUUCGUGACACAAUGCCCAUCCAACCCGGAAGCCAGCCGCACCAAUGUGUCGGAGGAAGCACCGUACACCUGGCGACCGUGUCAGCGUGCACUGCGCCCGGCCCACCGCAGGAGUCGCUAGUGCGCGAUGAGACAAGGAUAUCCCUGCCGGCCAAACCCUCCCUAACCCGGAAGACGCUUGGCCAAUUUUGCGCCGCCCCGUUGGCCUCCCGGUCGCAGCCGGCUGCGACAGAGCCUGGACUCGAACCCAGAAUCUCUAGUGGCACAGCUAGCACUGCGAUGCAGUGCCUUAGACCACUGCGCCACCCGGGAGGCGAUCGGGGUGCAACACGACUGUAAUCCAGGAUUAGUGGCAGGGCCUGAACAUCCUGGUCAGACACAAUUUCAAGGACAAGUCCUGCAGUGGCCUGUGGGAGACCAUGUUGACAAAGGACCCCUACAGGCACAAUUGCAAGAACAUACUGGAGUUGGUGCAGCUUAUGCUGGUGCUGCCCAUUUCAGCCGCCCAGUGUGAGCGAGGCUUCUCUGCGCAGAACCGGAUUAAGAAUUCGACAAGACGCUGCCUUGGGGUCUCCACCACCGAAGACCUGAUGAGGAUCAGCCUGGAGGGGCCUCCUGUCGAGGAGUUGGAUCCCACUCCUGCCGUGGACCGCUGGCUGACCUCUAAGCGUGCCAGACGGCCAACAUACAAAAGCAGCUGGACAACCGAUAUCCUUUGCGUCUAGUAGCCAUGGGUCAAUGUGUGGUUUUGGUGGUAUGUGCUGUUCCACAUGUGUCCCUUAGUACACGCUCACACACACACACGCAGUAUAAAUAUGUAUGUAAUAGAUUGUUUGUUAAUAAACUGUGUUACAUUUUUCACUGUGCUCCUAAAUUUCUUUGUGUGCUCCUACAUUUUUUCAUUUAGGAGCGCAUGUACUCCUUGGGAAAAAAGAUAGCGUAGAGCCCUGGGCAGACCACGUGUAUGGUGUCUUGUGGGCGAGUGGUUUGCUGAUGUCAACAUUGUGAACAGUGCCCCAUGGUGGUGGGGUUAUGGUAUGGGCAGGCAUAAGAUACGGACAAUGAACACAAUUGCAUUUUAUCGAUGGCAAUUUGAAUGCACAAAAAUAUAGUGAGGCCCAUGUUUUUUAAAGGUAUCUGUGACCAACAGAUGCAUAUCUGUAUUCCCAGUCAUGUGAAAUCUAUAGAUUAGGGCCUAAUAAAUGUAUUUCAACUGACUGAUUUCCUCAUAUGAACUGUAACUCAGUAAAAUCAAUGAAAUUGUUGCAUGUUUCUAAUUUUGUUCAGUUUAGCUCUCACCGGGAAUGGAAGUACCCAGAGCCACAAACACCACGGCAGUGACAGUGUCCCUGAGACCGACGGUGCAGCCGAAGUGGGAGGCUAGGUCCCCGAUGACAGCAGUCAGGAUGCCGAUAACCGAGAUGGACACGAAGAAGCAGGCCCAGCCAUUCCAGUACUCGGUGGGCGGAACGAAGGCGAACAGAACCUUCCAGAACACCGUCAGGAAGUGCAUGACGUAGUCGUAGCAGGAUGGCAGACGCUCCUCACGCCCCUCUUCAUCAUCGUCAUCACCAUCACCUGGGAGGGGGACACAGUAAAACAUAAGAGCCACAUAUACAAACACACUCAUGCACGGACGCACACCAGUGGUGGUCGGUGCCAUUUAAGAUGAGGGAGGACAAUACAUUUUUUAUGAGCAUGGCCUUAUUAUCUAUUACAGCAUACUGGAUGACUCUCAUUCCAUUCACCCAGCUCAAUGUAAAGUCGAUAGGUUUAGGCUACUACAUGAUACUCAAGUUUUCCCUAUACCCAUCAUUAGAUUGCUACAACCUAGCCUAUGAAUUAAAGUUUACAGCGUAGGUGUAUAGGUCAUGAGAAAAAUCUAAGUGACAGACAGUGACACAUUCGGUACCACCUUGCACAACUUGCUUGCAUCUAGCUGAUCUAGGGUGUGUACUCAUUAGUCCAACAGUUGCAAACAACAGUUUAUAUUGGACAAAUUCAGGUGUGUUUAUCCCCAUUUCAUUCUGUUUUCUUAUGUUUAAGAUGUUUCUUUUACAGAAUCGGCGGAAUGAUUACACCCAUGAUCACACUCAAACACAGUUCACUUUCGUAGCAGCCACAAACACACAGUAUAAUCACUUUGCUCGUUGUAUAUCCCUUCUCACAUCUACGCACACCUUUUCACUUCACUUGUGGACUUCAGUGCACAACACAUCAGCUGUCUGUGACCAGGAGAAAAAAACCUGCUAUAAUCAUGCAGUACAGUGUACAGUCAGCAAGCAGUUUAGCAGUUACACCAGCAAGCCCCGGUGGUAACAAAUUAAUAAAACCAAAAGCUUACCUUGACUUGGAAGAGUUCCAGUGUUGGAUAGCCAUAGCCAGCUAGCAUCCCUCUUUGUUUGAGCCAGGUGUUUGAGUAGGCAAAACUAGCUUUCUGCAUUUGCAAGUGAAGUAAUUAAAAGUGAGAAAAAUAAAUAAAAUGAAAUAUAGCUAGCUUUCUCUCUUCUCUCUUGCUUCUCCUUUAUUUUUGAAGAAAUUAAUUUGUUUAAAACGGUUGAACUAUGAUCCUUCUCUGUCUUUGAGUCAACUACUCACCACAUUUUAUGCAGUGCUAGCUAGCUGUAGCUUCUGCUUUCAGUACUAGAUUCAUUCUCUGAUCCUUUGAUUGGGUGGACAACGUGUCAGUUCAUGCUGCAAGAGCUCCGAUAGGUUGGAGGACAUCCUCCGGAAGUUGUCAUUAUUACUGUGUAACUUGGUGUCCUCUGGCUACACCAUGGUGCUACCAUACAGAGUGCUGUUGAGGUUACUAUAGACCUUCACUGCAAAACAGUGGAUUUUAAUCAAUUAUUUGUUGACAUGUGAGUAUAUUUAUGUCACGAAUCCCGCUUCCUGAGUCUGUUUUUGCCUGUGUUCUGUCCUGGAGUGUUUUUUCCGGUGUCCUGGAACGCACCCGGUCUGGUUGCCGGGCGACGUAGCUAGUUGGAAGAUCUCUGAGUACCUGCACCUGUAUCCCAUCAGCUAUCUGCACACCUGGUCCUGAUCAUCACCCCUCCACUUCAUAAGCACUGACCUGACAUCCAUUCCCUGCCGGAUCGUUAACCAUGAACAUCAUUCACCCGGAACACUCAUCUUAUCCCUACCUGGUCGUCGGUGACUUCAGUUACUUCCUUGGAUCUGUCUAUUCAAUCCCAUCAACUCACCUCCGCUGCCCGCUCCGUCACUUGGAUUUUUCUAUCACUACAUUCAAACUUGUAAAUAAAUACUCUCCUUGUCCUGGUCUGCUUCUGGGUUCAACUUUAGAAGAAGCGUGACAAUUUAUAGUAAAGUUUAAUCUAUAAAAGGAUCACUUUUUUUUUAAUCUUUCACAAUUUGUAUUUUUAUGAAAUUCACUGAGGAUGGCCCUCCCAUUCCUCCU